rnacentral:misc_RNA from 1 species
GAUGAAGAACGUAGCGAAAUGCGAUAAGUAAUGUGAAUUGCAGAAUUCAGUGAAUCAUCGAAUCUUUGAACGCACAUUGCGCCCGCCAGCAUUCUGGCGGCAUGCCUGUUCGAGCGUCAUUUCAACCCUCAAGCUCUGCUUGGUGUUGGGGCCCUACGGUUGACGUAGGCCCUUAAAGGUAGUGGCGGACCCUCUCGGAGCCUCCUUUGCGUAGUAACUAACGUCUCGCAUUGGGAUUCGGAGGGACUCUUGCCGUAAAACCCCCAAAUUUUCUAAUGGUUGACCUCGGAUCAGGUAGGAAUACCCGCUGAACUUAAGCAUAUCAAUAAGCGGAGGA